GAAAGAUUGAUAGAAAAAAGAAAUGCCAGCUGUAGAAAUCUGUAUUUCAUAAUAUUUAAUAAAUUAACAUUUUGAUAUAAUUACAUGGAUUAAUUUUUGGGUUGUUAAUUAUUUGUGUUAAUUUAUAACAAUCAUUUAUAGUUGCACUAUUUAUUAUUGUGUAUAAUUAUAUAUAAAUAUAUUUAAACAUUUCUAAGAUUUUGAAAAAAUCCAAAAAAAUAAUAAUAAAAAAAGAUUUUCUUUCUCUCCAUACAAUGAAAGUCAAAUGAGUCCAAUUUGUUUUGUACAUCAGUGACUUUCAUCAUAUGGCCAGAAGAAAUAGGUUUGGAAAAACAUUAGACUGAGUAAACAAGGAUAUAAAUUUCAUUUUUGGGUGAACUAUCCCUUCAAGUAGUUUAUACAUGUCAUCAUAUUUCAUGUCAUCAUAUUUAAUCAAUUAUAACUACAAGAAUGCUUCAUUUCCAAGAAUGCUUUACCUGUAUUUCUGAAUUGCAAGUCUUGUCAUACCAAUUCCUGUGGGGUGUGGUCAAUUCAGUUCAAAUUCACACUCAUAUAUUGAAAUUAAUUUCUGAAUUUUGUCCAACCCUGAUUCAGCCACAUCUGCUUCGACCUUUGGUAUUUAACAGGCAAAGGUCAGGAACCACAUAUAAUCGAGGGAUGCUGCCAGUGCUGAUCAGUGGUGGCCUGAAGCGAGGCAUAUGUCUCCUAACAGAAGACGACAGAUACAGGUGUCAGUAUCCAGGGUUUAUUCCCCACGGUCAUGGGCUACAGGCAGAACUCCACCCCACAUGCUUACUUUUCUUUGUCCAUCUCGCUGGUCCCCCCCACCCCUUCCCUUUCCUUCCCUCCGUCCCCUCCCCCUCCUCUUCUCUUCCGCCUGCGGGCUGCGGGGAUGCCAAGACCCAUGCUAAUCAUGGGUGACACAUCAUUGAGGGGAGCGGGCUGUUUGCUGUCAGCAGUGUUUUUGGUUCAUAAUUAUUUCACGAGUGUCACGUCAGUGUCAGGCUCUGGGCGAGCAGAGAGAGACAGCCGGCCUGCGGAGAGGAAGAGUGGGUGGAGGGGGGAGUGUCACAAGACCUCACUGUUAGCCACUUUCUGCCCAACACCUCCAUGCUCCACUGUCUACACUUGGAGAGAAGGAAAGAGAGCAAGAUGAGAGGAAAAGAGAGACACCCUGUGUAUACUUUGAACUUGAUGGGUCACAUUCACUAUGAUUAUAUAUACGCACAUAUUUGUAAAAACUGUGUGCAAGCGUUUUCACACAAAAAUCAUGAUUCAUCAUUGGAUUAGGUGUUUUUUUUUUUAAAUAAGAAGACUCUUACAUUCACCAAGGCUGCAUUUAUUUGAUCAAAAAUACAGUAAACACUGUUACUGUGAAAUAUUAUUACAAUUUAAACACUUUUCUAUUUUAUUCAUUUUAAAAUGUAAUUUAUAACUGUGAUGCAAAGCUGAAUGUUUAGCAGGCAUUACUUCAGUCUCAAAUGAUCCUUCAGAAAACAUUUUAACAUGCUGAUUUGGUGCUCAAAUAACGUCGUAUUAUUGUCGAUGUUGAAAUUAUUUCUUUUUUUUUUAGAUAAAUGUAUAUUAUAUUUCCAAUGAUAUAUCUUUAGUGUUUAUAUUGAUAGAACUUAUGAUAAAGCCUGCUUUUGCAUAAUUGCUAGUCUGCAGUUUAGCACUUGUAUGAGGAGAAAAUGUUCUUCAGUUUUUAUUUAUUACAUUUUCAAAAUCACGUAUCUUAAAAAAUGUUUAAAUAUAUUGUGGACGAUAUAACCUGGAAGAUGAUUCUGCCAUUUACUCACACCCAUGUUCUUUCAAACAUGCCUUUUUAAUUUUCAGUAUAAUUACAAAAGCACAAGUCAAAAAUUCUUGAUGAACAGACAGAAAUUUAACUUAUGCACUAUAAACCCGUCUUGUGGCUUUC
ensembl:lncRNA